rnacentral:rRNA from 1 species
UACGGAGGGUGCAAGCGUUAUCCGGAUUCACUGGGGUUUAAAGGGUGCGUAGGCGGGUUGGUAAGUCCGUGGUGAAAUCCCCAAGCUUAACUUGGGAACUGCCGUGGAUACUAUCAAUCUUGAAUAUCGUGGAGGUAAGCGGAAUAUGUCAUGUAGCGGUGAAAAUGCUUAGAUAUCUGGAGGACACCGGUGGCGAAGGCGGCAUCCUGGACCAAUAUUGGACGCUGAGGAGCGAAAGCUAGGGGAGCAAACGGGG